AUAGACUCCUAGGAGAACCGUUAACGUGAUGGUAAUCAGCAAUAUCAAAGUCAGAACGCUAAAGCCAGUAUAAAGUGACUUGAGCCAGUUGGACCAUGUCAAGGGGCGCCACAGUCCGAUGCACUUUAAAAUGCGGAAGGUUGUAUUUGGAAAGACGUUGCUUCUGGUUGAGACACCAGUCGUUUGUGCAUUCAAUGUGUGCGUCAUAGAUACACGUAUUCCGAUACUCUAUUCGCUAUUUUAAUGAUUCAUCGAAAGAAAGUCAUUUCUCCGACCACGUUACGACUACCAUUUCGCUUGAUUAAUAAUAACAACGUCACAUCGACAAAGUAACCGCAAGAUACUUUGCGUAAUGUAUGUGGGUGCUGUGCUAGCAGCCACCUUUCCUUUCGCCUUAAUUAAUAACUACGUAGGGCGUAGAAUUUAUUCAAGAAUAUUUUGCGAUUGCGCAACUCACGAUGUGAAAAACGCGUCGAAAUUGUAACUCUCGAUUAGCUAUCUUUAAAAAGUUCAAAUUGAAACGCCGACAGAUAAUUCGAAAGCUGCGUUUAAAUUCGAAAUUUCAUUAAAAAAUAGUUCAUAUUUUCAUGAAAAUCACGGCCACCAGAACAAAUUUCAAAUUCAUCAAUGUGCCAAUGAAAAAAUAGCUGGAAUUAAGAAGAAUGCCGUUAUCGGAUAUAGUAAAAUUUAUUGAU